UGUAAGCGUAUACCAAAGUUGUUGCAGUUAAAACGCUCGUAGUCGGAAUUUGGCAGUUCCGGAUGUGUGCACGUCGUGUGCGCACUUCGCGGGGAUUGCUUUUGUGGUCUUGCGUAGGAUGAGGCACUUUUAUUAGUGAACGUCCUCACGCAACCACUUUUUACUGUGAGAAAAUCAGAGCGCUCAAAGCAGGCAUUUGCCGUGAAUGUAUUAGCAUGGAAUAAUAGAAUAGGACUUGGUUCUAUUUUGUUGGUUUGUUGGGACUGGGUAAUGAUUAAGAGGGACAGUUGGGGGCAUUUGUAUUUCGGUGCUAGAGGUGAAAUUCUUAGAUUACCGAAAGACAAACUGCUGCGAAAGCGUCUGCCAAGGAUGUUUUCAUUGA
rnacentral:rRNA from 1 species